rnacentral:rRNA from 1 species
ACUCCGUACGGGAGGCAGCAGGUGGGGAAUAUUGCACAAUGGGCGCAAGCCUGAUGCAGCCAUGCCGCGUGUAUGAAGAAGGCCUUCGGGGUUGUAAAGUACUUUCAGCAGUGAGGAAGGUGGGUAUGUUAAUAGCAUACUCAAUUUGACGUUAGCUGCAGAAGAAGCACCGGCUAACUCCGUGCCAGCAGGCCGCGGUAAUACGGAGGGUGCGAGCGUUAAUCGGAAUUACUGGGCGUAAAGCGCAUGCAGGUGG